CUUAAUUUUCUCAUUCUCUCACAAUUCUUUCCUUCAUCAUCUUUUACUACAAUUCUAUAAUAACUUGAUUUUUUGUUUGUUUUGCAGAAAGAUUAAAAUAUAUUCAUCUCCAUCUAACAACAACGCGGGAAAGUUGAAAGUAUUUUAGUGAUAACAUCAAACAAGAACACGUGAAAGUAGAAUAGUAUAACAUUUUUCAUGAUUGAACAAAUUCUACUCAAGAUUCAUGAACAAAUUCUACUUCAAGAUAGGGAGAUGUUGAAAACAGUGGUUUUGCAUCAAACAACUUUCAAAGAUUCAAGUAACCAAGACCCAAAAAUUAUUCAUGAUAAAAACAAAAGAUGAACACGGGAAACAAAACACUACCAAGGAAGAUCGCGAGAAAAGAAAACACAUACCAAGAAAGUGGAAGAAUUUGAUUUUGAUAACAUUUCUGAGUGAUUAUAUGGCAGGGACGGUGGCCGGCCGCCGGAAACAGAGUUGAGAAAGAGUGAAGGAGGGAGUAAGAGAGAGAAAGAAAAAUGGAAAAUGAAGGAUCUGUGAAGAAAAAGUGUAUAUAUACCCAAUGUGAUCCAAUGUGCAAGUGUCCACGGCUGCACACCGAGAUGAGAAGAUGAAGCCACACCCAAGAUCAGGGAACAAGUAUCUCCAAUUUUUUCAUAAUCCAUUUUUAGACAAAUUAUACUACUCAUUCAUGUAAUUGAUAACAGUUUCAAAAUAGCUAACAUUUACAUUAAAUAAAUCAUAUAUGGGACAAAUAUGCUAUUAAUUCAUAGUACUCAUACUGAUUAAAUAAAUCUAACU